AACGAACGCUGGCGGCAUGCCUAACACAUGCAAGUCGAACGAGACCUUCGGGUCUAGUGGCGCACGGGUGCGUAACGCGUGGGAACCUGCCCUUAGGUUCGGAAUACCUCCCCGAAAGGGUUGCUAAUACCGGAUAAUGUCUUCGGACCAAAGAUUUAUCGCCUUUGGAUGGGCCCGCGUUGGAUUAUCUAGUUGGUAGGUUAAAAGCCUACCAAGGCGACGAUCCAUAGCUGGUCUGAGAGGAUGUUCACCCACACUGGGAAUGAGACACGGCCCAGACUCCUACGGGAGGCAGGAGUGGGGGAUAUUGGAAAAUGGGCGAAAGGCUGAUCCAGCAAUGCCGCGUGAGUGAUGAAGGCCUUAGGGUUGUAAAGCUCUUUUACCCGGGAUGAUAAUGACAGUACCGGGAGAAUAAGCGCCGGCUAACUCCGUG
rnacentral:rRNA from 1 species